AAUUUCCAAACUUUUUAACUACAAUUAAAUACGAGUAAUUAGUAAUAAUUAUGUCUUAUGUGAUAAUUGAAUUUGAUGAUGGAGGUGGUGUUGCAAUCGUUAGAAGUACUUGGUUAACACCUUGAAAAAAAGAAGUGUUUUGGCCACCUAUAAAGGAUCGAAAAAAAUUUGAUAAAAUUUUAUAAAAUACUGAUGUUGCGGAUCAAAAUUGGAAACUUUAUUCAGUAGUAAGAUGCUUAUAUGAAACUGAUGAUUUACAAAAAGCUCGACAAAAAUGUAAAUUGUUAGAAGAAACAUCUGAUUUACAAAUAGAUCAAGACAAUAAAACUUUCAAAAGGAAAAGAGUGCCUCGUCAAAUUAGUUUAAGCAAUAAAAAGAAAGUGGUGAGAUCCAUGUUUGGCCAUCAAAAUUAAAAACCAAAUUUCUAAAUUCGAUUCAACCUCAAGAAAAAACUCCAAUUUUUAGAAAUGAAACAGAUUCUUCCAAUGUAAAUUCUUUUGAAGUUUCCGAACAGACGCU